GAUGAACGCUAGCGGCGUGCCUAAUACAUGCAAGUCGAGCGAACAGACGAGGAGCUUGCUCCUCUGACGUUAGCGGCGGACGGGUGAGUAACACGUGGAUAACCUACCUAUAAGACUGGGAUAACUUCGGGAAACCGGAGCUAAUACCGGAUAAUAUAUUGAACCGCAUGGUUCAAUAGUGAAAGACGGUUUUGCUGUCACUUAUAGAUGGAUCCGCGCCGCAUUAGCUAGUUGGUAAGGUAACGGCUUACCAAGGCAACGAUGCGUAGCCGACCUGAGAGGGUGAUCGGCCACACUGGAACUGAGACACGGUCCAGACUCCUACGGGAGGCAGCAGUAGGGAAUCUUCCGCAAUGGGCGAAAGCUUGACGGAGCAACGCCGCGUGAGUGAUGAAGGUCUGCGGAUCGUAAAACUCUGUAUUAGGGAAGAACAAAUGUGUAAGUAACUAUGCACGCCUUGACGGUACCUAAUCAGAAAGCCACGGCUAACUACGUG
rnacentral:rRNA from 1 species